rnacentral:rRNA from 1 species
GUGUUCGGCGGUCGGUUGUCGUGGUCGGGGGACGGUGCACUUGCGCGCAGAGUGCGCUGAGCCAGUGGGGCCUGCUGCUGGAAGUUCGGUUGAGAGGAGCGAGCCUUCGGGAUCGCAAACCUCGGCGGACGGGCAGCGGUCGGGCCCGACUGUUGAGCUCGCCUACAUUGAGAUUGUGGUUUGGGCGGCGUUGCUUUACGGAUGGGGCGCAUGCGUCACUCUGGAGGGCGCGUCGCCGGGGCAGCAGUCUCUGGGCGUGUGCUCGGUGUGUGGUCGGUGACCCAUUUGACCCGUCUUGAAACACGGACCAAGGAGUUUAAGGUGUGCGCGAGUGAUUGAGUGGCAAGACUCAGAAGCGUAAUGAAAGUGGGACACUUGGUGUCUGUGAUGCGAUCCGGACUAGCUUGCUGGGACGGGGCAGCAUCGACCCAUGACUAGAACAUGUUCUGUUGUGGAGUCUGAGCGCACGCUUUGAGACCCG